rnacentral:rRNA from 1 species
AACGAACGUUGGCGGCAGGCUUAACACAUGCAAGUCGAGCGCGUAGCAAUACGAGCGGCAGACGGGUGAGUAACGCGUGGGAAUCUACCCAACCCUACGGAAUAACGCAUGGAAACGUGUGCUAAUACCGUAUACGCCCUUAGGGGGAAAGAUUUAUCGGGGAUGGAUGAGCCCGCGUUGGAUUAGCUAGUUGGUGGGGUAAAGGCCUACCAAGGCGACGAUCCAUAGCUGGUCUGAGAGGAUGAUCAGCCACAUUGGGACUGAGACACGGCCCAAACUCCUACGGGAGGCAGCAGUGGGGAAUAUUGGACAAUGGGCGCAAGCCUGAUCCAGCCAUGCCGCGUGAGUGAUGAAGGCCCUAGGGUUGUAAAGCUCUUUCACCGGUGAAGAUAAUGACGGUAACCGGAGAAGAAGCCCCGGCUAACUUCGUGCCAGCAGCCGCGGUAAU